rnacentral:rRNA from 14 species
AUUGAACGCUGGCGGCAGGCCUAACACAUGCAAGUCGAGCGGCAGCACGGGUACUUGUACCUGGUGGCGAGCGGCGGACGGGUGAGUAAUGCCUAGGAAUCUGCCUUAUAGUGGGGGAUAACGCUCGGAAACGGACGCUAAUMCCGCAUACGUCAUACGGGAGAAAGCAGRGSACCUUCGGGCCUUGCGCUAUCAGAUGAGCCUAGGUCGGAUUAGCUAGUUGGUGAGGUAAUGGCUCACCRAGGCGACGAUCCGUAACUGGUCUGAGAGGAUGAUCAGUSACACUGGAACUGAGACACGGUCCAGACUCCUACGGGAGGCAGCAGUGGGGAAUAUUGGACAAUGGGCGAAAGCCUGAUCCAGCCAUGCCGCGUGUGUGAAGAAGGUCUUCGGAUUGUAAAGCACUUUAAGUUGGGAGGAAGGGCAGUUACCUAAUACGUAAUUGUUUUGACGUUACCGACAGAAUAAGCACCGGCUAACUCUGUGCCAGCAGCCGCGGUAAUACAGAGGGUGCAAGCGUUAAUCGGACUGGGCGUAAAGCGCGCGUAGGUGGUUCGUUAAGUUGGAUGUGAAAUCCCCGGGCUCAACCUGGGAACUGCAUUCAAAACUGUCGAGCUAGAGUAUGGUAGAGGGUGGUGGAAUUUCCUGUGUAGCGGUGAAAUGCGUAGAUAUAGGAAGGAACACCAGUGGCGAAGGCGACCACCUGGACUGAUACUGACACUGAGGUGCGAAAGCGUGGGGAGCAAACAGGAUUAGAUUCCCUGGUAGUCCACGCCGWAACGAUGUCAACUAGCCGUUGGGAGCCUUGAGCUCUUAUUGGCGCKCUAACGCAUNAGUUUACCGCCUGGGGAKA